rnacentral:rRNA from 1 species
AUUGAACGCUGGCGGCAGGCCUAACACAUGCAAGUCGGACGAGCGGCGGACGGGUGAGUAAUGUAUGGGGAACUGCCUGAUGGCGGGGGAUAACUACUGGAAACGGUAGCUAAUACCGCAUACCAUCAGAUGAACCCAUAUGGGAUUAGCUUGUAGGUGGGGUAAAGGCUCACCUAGGCGACGAUCCCUAGCUGGUCUGAGAGGAUGACCAGCCACACUGGAACUGAGACACGGCCCAGACUCCUACGGGAGGCAGCAGUGGGGAAUAUUGCACAAUGGGCGCAAGCCUGAUGCAGCCAUGCCGCGUGUAUGAAGAAGGCCUUCGGGUUGUAAAGUACUUUCAGCCGGGAGGCGUUACCCACAGAAGAAGCACCGGCUAACUCCGUGCCAGCAGCCGCGGUAAUUC